GGGUGAGGCGUUGCGCAUGGCUCAACAGUGGGGCCCCGCGGCCGACACGCUUUGGGGAGCGGGGCGUUGCCCGCGGGAGGCUAGUGCGGACCACACGGGCGCCGGCUAGGCGCGGUUCCCCUCCCCUACGGGGCAGGGGCAUGGGCACGGGCGCUUUCGAGGUUGAGCGUGUGGCAGAGGGCUGCGAGCUGGUGAAGUGCCGGGGACCCGAAGGGUUGAUGGUGGGGCGUGCAACGUGUGACUACGGGUCCCCGAGAGGCCCAGCGCGAGCCGGGGCUGCGCGGAGCUCGUGCCUGACCUCCCAUUCAUUCCAAUAGUACCGGCGGCCUACCGCCUGUCAAGGGACCCACCCCUGGCAUCGUGAGCGCUUUUGAGCAUGU
rnacentral:lncRNA from 1 species